CUCGCAGGUUUUCAAGAAUCUGAAGCUGUUCAUAAAGCAUAAGGAUCCGGAAGAUGAUUUAUUUAUUUGAUCACAGUGGGUUUGUGACUGCAGGGCAGUGCAGCGGUUUGAGCGGCGAGGUCGAGCUUUAAAGGACGAGGCGGUCAGAAAUAAUCAGAAACAGCAGAGUGAUGACCAGUCGUUUAGACUCCAGCAUCAGCGGGUCGCAGAUCCAGAAGAAAAAGGAACAAAUUGAAGAGGCCAAAAAAGAGCUGAAGGAAGUGAAGAAAGCGCAUAAAGACGCUCCGUCUGACAAAUCCAAGAAGUAAGGAGUCUUUUAAAUGCUCCUGCACUCAAGGUUAGAGCUGAUGAUCCUCUGCCAGCAGCGUUUGUGCCGUAAAAGCAUGAAAUAUUCAGACCGCUCAACAGCCAAAAGAAACAAACACUGCUGCUGUUCAUCAGCAGUCUGUUUGUGCCUGAAGACAUUCACAUUAAAUCAUUACAGUUACUGUUUGUUGAUGGAAAAUACAUUGCAGUGGGUCAGUUGGAUUGCAUUGCAUCAGUGUUUGCCAAAUGUUAUUAUUACAGUCUGAAAUAAUGUAAAUGGAACAUCAUGAACACAAUAAACGUAUUUUAGUU